rnacentral:rRNA from 1 species
AGUGGAUGGGGAGCAACCUAGUUGUGCGUGUGUAAAGGUAGUGCCAAGAAAAGCGAUGAUCAUGUUGAAAAUCAAUUCCCGGUACCCGAAACCGACACAGGUGGGCAAGUAGAGAAUACUAAGGGGCGCGAGGUAACUCUCUCCAAGGAACUCGGCAAAAUGACCCCGUAACUUAGGGAGAAGGGGUGCCACCGAGAGGUGGUCGCAGUGAAGAGGCCCAGGCGACUGUUUAGCAAAAACAUAGGUCUCUGCAAACUCGAAAGAGGAGGUAUAGGGGCUGACGCCUGCCCAGUGCCGGAAGGCUAAAGAAGUUGGUCAGUCUUAGGAUGAAGCUAGCGACUGAAGCCCCGGUGAACGGCGGCCGUAACUAUAACGGUCCUAAGGUAGCGAAAUUCCUUGUCGGGUAAGUUCCGACCCGCACGAAAGGCGUAACGAUCUGGGCGCUGUCUCGGAGAGAGGCUCGGCGAAAUAGGAUUGUCUGUGAAGAUACGGACUACCUGCAUUUGGACAGAAAGACCCUAUGAAGCUUUACUAUAGCUUGGAAUUGUGUUCGGGCUUCCUGUGCGCAGGAUAGGUGGGAGGCGUAGAAGGUAUUCUUGUGGGGAUACUGGAGCCAACGGUGAGAUACCACUCUCAGGAGGCUAGAAUUCUAACUUAAUUAAGGACAGUUUCAGGUGGGUAGUUUGACUGGGGCGGUCGCCUCCAAAAAGGUAACGGAGGCGUACAAAGGUUCCCUCAGACUGGUUGGAAAUCAGUCGAAGAGUGCAAAGGCAGAAGGGAGCUUGACUGCGAGAAGUACAGUUCGAGCAGGGUGGAAACACGGUCUUAGUGAUCCGACGGUGCUGUGUGGAAGGGCCGUCGCUCAACGGAUAAAAGUUACUCUAGGAUAACAGGCUGAUCUCCCCCAAGAGUUCACAUCGACGGGGAGGUUUGGCACCUCGAUGUCGGCUCAUCGCAACCUGGGGCGGAAGUACGUCCCAAGGGUUGGGCUGUUCGCCCAUUAAAGCGGUACGUGAGCUGGGUUCAGAACGUCGUGAGACAGUUCGGUCCAUAUCCGAUGUAGGCGUGAGAAUAUUGAGAGGAGCCUUCCUUAGUACGAGAGGACCGGGAAGGACGCACCGCUGGUGUACCUGUUAUGAUGCCAAUUGUAAACGCAGGGUAGCCAAGUGCGGAGAGGAUAACCGCUGAAAGCAUCUAAGUGGGAAGCCCACCUCAAGAUGAGUAUUCUGGUGUAAGGUCACGGGAAGACGACCCGUAAAUAGGCACGAGGUGGAAGUGCAGAGAUGUAUGAAGCCGAAGUGUACUAAUAGACCGUCGGCUU